CUUAAACGCCCGGGCUGUGACUGAUUCUCCGCGUCCCGCUGUCCACCUAGAUUCACCCGGGAGUUUUUUUUUUCCCCCCAGAAAAGAAACAGACUUUAAAUAGUUUCGGGAGCAGUUCCUGACCACCACGGCUUUAAGAAUAUUCUUCACCCAGGAGGGAGCUGCAUUGGUUUAAGACUUGUCUGGGAGCUGGGACGCCCCUCUGGCAAUCUGUCAGUGCCUGAACCAGCAGCCUCCUUCCUGGAGUAUUUUCUCACCAGACUGACAGUCCUUAAGACAAGUAUGCAGUUAAGCUGCUAAGGUAAGUCUUACAAGAUUGGAACUCUUUGCCCUGGACAUACUUCAUUUGCUUCUGUUUUGUCUUAUGGGCCUAACACAAAUCCAAACCAAGCACCUCUCCCU
rnacentral:lncRNA from 1 species